GACGAACGCUGGCGGCGUGCCUAAUACAUGCAAGUCGAACGCAGUGGGGACGGGUGAGUAACACGUGGGUAACCUCCCAUCAGAGGGGAUAACACUUGGAAACAGGUGCUAAACCGAUACUGAUGGAUGGACCCGCGGUGCAUUAGCUAGUUGGUGAGGUAACGGCUCACCAAGGCCACGAUGCAUAGCCGACCUGACGGGGGGAUCGGCCACACUGGGAGUGAGACCCGGCCCAGACUCCGACGGGAGGCAGCAGUAGGGAAUCUUCGGCAAUGGACGAAAGUCUGACCCAGCAACGCCGCGUGAGUGAAGAAGGUUUUCGGGUCGUAAAACUCUGUUGUUAGAGAAGCGGUAUCUAACGAGAAAGCCACGGCUAACUACGUGCCAGCGGCGGGGUAAAUA
rnacentral:rRNA from 1 species